rnacentral:lncRNA from 1 species
ACCCUCCGUCGACUGACCCAUCUCUCUAGUUAUAAUUUUUCUCUCGUCCUUGCAUUGCCCAUUUGUUGCUAUCCAUUGGUAACGGACAACAGUAAAACGACAGACAACCAACAGCAAUAUUAUGUUCGACGGUGUAACACCCUGAAUUUGAGGGUAUAAAAUUUCUUCUCUAAAUGCCAACCAAAUUCAGGUGUUACCUCUUGUCUCUCUCUCUCUCUCUCUUUUCCUUUUGAUUAAAAGUAAGUGAAUUAGGCGAGGGUUUAAUUAUUUAUUUUGUCAAAGCUUAUGUGAGUCAUGAAAUGUUGCAUCAUGCUGAGCCUAAAUUAUUCUUUUGUUUGAUGCACAUGUUUGAAUUGGUUCGAAUUUGAAAUUUGGUUUGAGUUUGAUUUGAAAACCAUAAAGAAAUUAAAAUAGAAAAGACAUUAGAAAUUUCAAAAAAAGAAAAGGAAAGCAGCUCGAACCUCCUCCCUCCUUGGCCUUUCGGCCCAUCCAGCCCAAUUAACCUCCCGCAUCCGCUGACAAGCAGGCCCCACCUAUCGGCGCCACGCCCCGCUCGCCCUCUCUCUCUCUUCUUAGUGGGACCGCCCCAUCAGCACCGUGCCCUGCUCGCCCGCGCGUUCCCUCGCUGACUCGCGGCCCCUAUUGUCAGACCCAUCCCCUCCCCUGCAACUGUCGCGCCCGCGCCCAUGGCGUGCGCCCAUGCGGUCAAAGCGUGCCCACAUCCCCACGACCUGCCCAUGUCACCCGAGUGCUAGGUGAAGACCCCGAACACUCCCUCAGCUUGCCCCUGCCUCACAUUCGCUCUUUCCCUGCCCUCGCACUCACCCAGCCGCAACGCCGCCCCCCGCUGUUGCUUCACCUUUCUGUUGUCGCCGCUGGACUUCUGCCAGCGCUUUGGCCAUGGUGAGCUUUGCCUGAGCUUGGCGCACCGGGAACCCACGAUGGUUUCCCCUUUCCUCAAAUCCUCUACCCGAUUUGCGCUCCACCUCUCCCCUGCGCAGGUCGGAGCUCGCUGCCGUCGUGAUUCUUCAACGUCCGGUCAACUAGAGCCCCAUCGCGCCGUGCCAAGCUGCCCGAAGCAUCGUAUCUGGGUAAGUGACAUUCCUGUGUCCUUCUUUUGCGCCAAUUCUGCUAUACGUGGGGGAUUUCAGCCAUCGAAGUUGCCCCUCGCCGGGCCACAGCAUCUUCAUGGCGUUCGACCACUGCAACCCCUCCCUGAGCCCGAACUUAGGCCUAGAGCACCCCACCCUCUCCCUGGAGCCUAUGCCAACCGCAGAGCGCCGGUUUAACCCUCACCGCGACGGGUAUUGCUCGCCAGAGUAAGCUUGGGUUCGCCCGAGGGUCCCCCUCCACUGUCUGCCCGCCUUAGUCCUGUUCUCGGCACCCAGACCUUGCCAUAGUGCUUGCCGAGUCCUCCCCAACCUCUCUGGCUACCCAGACCAACCCCCAGUGUCCUAGAAGCCCCGGUCUGCCUCGCCUCCGGCGACUGCGCCGCCGUGUCCGCGGAAAGCGCCACCCCUAGCUGACUAGAGGAGACUAAACCCCUCGUGCCGAAUCCGAACAGCCCGGUCUUGAUCUGACGGCCCGAAGUCGUGGAUAACGGUUCGCGUGGUUUGUGGAACCAGAGCCAUCGAUCUACAAUCCAGUGGCCAACACGCCCCGUGUCCUCUUCAUACUGCUGACCCAUGGGCCCCGGGUGUCAGUGCCUCAACCCACCCGAGCCCACCUAUCAAGAGCCUGCGCCCUCGCUCGCUAUUCUAAUUUGGACCUUUGGUCGGAGAUCAGACGGCUAGCGCAACCCCGUACCCCUUCGCGUGGCAAUUUUGCUAAAGAGACCCUCGCUUUUUAGAAAUCAACCCGUUGUCCCUGGUUUUCACGCACAGGCCUCUGUAAUCUUACGGAUUGAACCCUAGACUUCUAUUUAUUCACAAAUUUAGGCCUAAUUUUGUAUUUUAAACAUCAAAACUUGUUUAUUUCAUAUCUUUUGCAUAUGAACUUCAAAUGGAGUGAUUCAAAUUGCAAAAUGUUCAUAGGAUUAUUCUCUGUCCAAAUAAAUUAUGAUCAUUCACUGUCUGUACGUGUUAAUUUUAUGCCUAGACUAUAGGUUAGUAUAUGUAAUAGUUUGUUUACUAAAUAAGAAAAUAAAAAGGAAACCCUAAUGGUAAUUAGAUGUUUAACCUUGUGAGAUUAAUAAUAUGUAAUGUAUGAAUUUAUCCCUGGUAUAAUUUUGUGUCUCACUAAAAUUAGUGGAAUUAAAAUUAUGCAAUCCAUGGAGAUAGAUAAUAUUUAGGGAAUCACAAACCACUAGUGUGCUAGUUCACUCUAGCACCUAAGUUGACCUUUUGUGUUUACAUUGCUCUGUCAAACUUGUGUUCACUUGGUUGUAUAUGUUUGGUGUAUUGUUCAUUUGUCUUUAUCCAAUUGCAUUGAAUGCAUGAUCGCUUUGUUUAGACAAUGAGCAGCUCAUGGUUCCUUAGUGUGUUGUUGAAGAUCUUCCUGAGCAACAACCUGGUGAAGGCAAGAGUCCUCUGACCUACUAUGUCCUACUUACUUUAUAGUUCACCGUCCCGCAUUACAUUAUUUAAACCUAAGGAUUAACUAGUCUGUAUUUACAUUAUCCUUGUUUACCUUUUUGGGUUUCUAAGCUUUAUGCUAUUGCUUUAACUUAAUCAAUGAACAUGAUGUGAAUCUUUAUGAUACAAUGAUGUUAUCUCGAUGAUGAUCUUGUGAUACUUUAGGGGACUCAGGCUAUUUCCUGAGUACCUCUCCGAAAGGACCUGUUCAUUGAGUGACCACCCGGGAUAACAGUACAACCAUGAGUGUGGAAUGGGACACCCUUAGCUGAUUAAUUAGAGGAACUUGAGGUGUAGUUGGCUUCGCCGUAGGGCCGUCUAUGGGGUCCAGGCACAACACUUUCUCUGCCGAGGCUGGUUGCCGAGGUUCUUUCGAUUUGGUUUUGUUAGUCACCCUUCUUAUGGGGAGAAUUACUAUGUUUAUCAAACUAGAGAAACCUAACGGGCGGCUAUGACCUCUUGGGAAUCUUUGUAAAGGCUACGUAGUGUAUCCCUAGCCAUUCACCUCGGUAGUGAAGAUCGAGUUUGUACAACAUAGGCUGGAAAGGGAUCACGACUCGUGGGUAAAGUGUGCAACCUCUGCAGAGUGUUAGAAACUGGUAUAUCAGCCAUGCUCACGGUUAAGAGCAGCCUUGGGAUCCUCUUUGAUUAGAAGAACUUUUGAUACUUUUAUGAUUAUGGUUAAUGAUGAUAAAUAUAACUCUGAUCAAUGAUAUUUCCUCUUGGAGGGAGUACUUUUGGGUAAUAACUGGGUUUAUUGCUAAAACAUGGCUUUACUACUAGGUAAUAAAUAUCUGACCAACUAAAAGCAAUUGCUUAACCUUAACUCCACAUACAGCUAGUCAACAUUAGCCAAACGGGACAUUUGCUGAGUACGUUGAUGUGUACGCACCCUUGCUUUAAAAACCACCCCACCCAAGGUUAUCGCCAAUAUAUUCAGUGCUCAGGAGGAGAUGCAGGCAACAUGGAGGACUUUGAGGAGUUCCAGGACUACGAUGAGUUCUAGUUAUGUUAGUGGUGAACCCCCAGUCAGCUGCCUGUGAAGGCUUUAUCAGAUACGCUCGCUUUUCCGCACUUUGAUAAUAGUAAUGACAAUGUUAUGUUAAUGACUCCGUGGAUGUCUUGGACAUCUUGAUGUAAUAAAGUACUAUUUCCACUAUUUACAUUGAGCAAUGUGUGAUGAUGUCCAAUUAUGUAAUCGUUUUUAAGUGAGUUUCUGAUCCUGGCACGUACAUGGUUCGCAUUCUGUUUACCUUCCAAAACCGGGUGACAGACGACCUCCUAGGUGGCCGUCGGAUAGAACGUUAUAUCCGACGGCCUAAGGCAGCCGUCGGACAUAAGAUCCUGCGUUCGACGGCUGUUAGACGGACGAUUAGACAUAAGGUUAUUUUCGAUGGCUAUCAGAUAAGCCAUCGGACAUAACCUUAUGUCCGACGGUCGCCUAGGAGGCCGUCAGACAUAAGGGAUUUAAACCCCGUCAGCGCCCGCCCACGUUGUUUCAGUUCCAUUCUUCAAGGAACACACAAGCUGAGGACGCCGCCACCCACCAGCCGCCGCCGCCGAGCACCUCCCCAGCCUACGGCAGCGCCCGCCCGCCCUGCCCCUGACGCUGCCCGAGCCCAUGGCCACCUUCGUCACCAUCCUCGAUGCCGCCGGAGCCGCUCCGACGCAGCCCGCGCCUGCCUCAGCCUCUGCCCCCGCCCCCGACGCCGUCGGCGCCUGCCUCGACCCCACCGGCGCUCGCUUCACUGGCUCUACGUCGAGCUAAGUGAGUAAUUUUGUAACUUUUAGUAUUAUUUUGUAUAUGCAUAUAGAUUGUUUGCUAUUAAUUAUGUUUAGUUUGUUAUGUCUGACAACCUAAGUUUAUUAUGUAAUUAAAUUAGCUUGUUUUAGUUUAUUUAGUGGUGCCUAUAUAAUUUAAACUUUUAAUUUCCGAGUGUAAUUAUUAUGCCCUCGAAAAUAAGAUCAUUUUAUAUGAUUUAGGGUCCCAUGAAAUGAUUUUUCAAUGUAAUAUUGUAUUAGUGUGGUUUAUUAGUAAUCAUAACUAAUUAAGUUAACGUCUCGUAUCUAGUAUGGAGGAGGAUCGUCGAUGGAUGUCUGAAGGUUGGAAGAAAAGAGGUGCUUUAUCAAGUGAGUGGGUUGCCAAGACUAACGCGUUUCUUGACCAUGCUUUUGCUCGAUUGGAGACUGGAAUCGAUGUUAGGUGCCCUUGUAGCAAGUGUCGGAACAUUUAUUUCCUUGACAGGGACUAUGUCGAUAGAUCUUUGUAAGAACGGUAAUAUGCCAGGCUAUGAGGUGUGGGUGCACCACGGUGAGGACCCACCUCCUCGUAUUGUAUCGUAAGUUCAGUCACAUGAAGAGAGGUCUACGAUAGGAUGGAAGAGAUGCUUGACGAUGUACGCCAUGAGCUUCUACCCGUGGAUUCGGAGAACCCCGGUCAACCCUCCGAUUAUGAGGAUCCUCCUACGCCUGAGGUUCAGAAGUUUUUCAAGCUCCUUAAAGCUGCCGAAGAGUCGUUGCACGAGCACACGAAAGUGACCAUCCUUGUGUUCGUGACUCGACUUAUGACUAUUAAGUCUAAGUUUGCAUUCUCAAACAACUGCUACAAGGAGCUUCUGAACUUGAUCAGUGAUGUACUUCCGGAGAAUCACAAGAUGCCAAAGGACAUGUAUGAGUCCAAGAAGUUGCUAUCUGGUCUCGGUAUGGACUACGAAAAAAUCGAUGUCUAUGACAACAACUAUAUGCUUUUCUGGAAGGAGACCAUGAGUGAGAAGAAGUGUAAAGUAUGUGGUGAGCGUAGAUUCGUAGAGGUUGAAAACGACAAUGGUUUGACCGUGAAAACCGAGAUAGCACGUAAGCAGGUUCGUUACAUGCCUCUUAUAACUCGGUUGAAACGUUUGUUCAUCUCCAAGAAUACAACCAGACACAUGAGGUGGCACAAAGAAGGGGUACGCUAGAAUCCAGAUGUCAUGGCACACCCAACUGAUAUAGAUGCAUCGAAGGUACUAGAUGCCUUUGAUUCUAGCUUUGCUAUUGAAGUGCCAAAUGUCCGCUUCAGUUUGGCAAUAGAUGGUUUCUCACCUUUCAAUCUAACUGCACCAUACUACUCAUGUUGGCUCGUAUUUGCUGUUCCAUACGACCUUCCACCAACUCUUUGCAUGAAAUAUGAAUUUAUUUUCUUAUGUCUUGUAAUACCUAGUCUGGAUCAUCCUAGAACAAAGAUUGAUGUGAUGAUGAGACCCCUGAUUGAAGAAUUGAAAAUUUUGUGGGAAGGAGUCGAGGCGUACGAUUGUUACAAGAAAUAGAAGUUCAACCUGAGAGCUGCGUUUUUGUGGUCUAUUCACGAUUUUAUGGCUUAUGGUAUCUUUGCUGGAUGGAGUUGUCAUGGGAUUCUGACAUUUCCGAUAUGCGCUGAAGACACUUUAUGCUUCUGACUGAAGUUUGGUGGAAAGAUAUGUUACUUCGAUUGCCAUAGAUGUUUUUUUGCCAGAGGAUCACCCAUUUAGGCUCGAUAGAAACGCUUUUAAACAAGUUGUUGCAUCUCAUAUCGUAUUUUACUGAUUCUUGUUUUGGGUACAUGUCAAUGCAUCUAUUUGCUUGAUGGAAAAACAUUUCAUGUAGGUGUCUGUGCCUUGGAUGGCCACCCAAUCAUAGGGUUAUCGGGCCUUGUGCAGGUGGUGGGAUUCCCCUGAGUUUCAUGCCAUUUUCGAAAGGAACAUGGGAAACCAUGGUACUGAGUCGUUCCACAACUACGACGGUGAGGACAUGUACACUUGGCUAAGCGAAUGGUAUGUCAUAGUAUGUUGUAACUUCGAAUUACAUAGAAAUGUGUCAUUCUAACUUGUAUGUACAGGAAGACAAAUCUGCCUGUACGCCUACGAAUCUGGAGGUGUAUAUGUAAGGGCAUAAGGGUUCUGAUCCACAGAAUCCUGAUGUUUUAUGCACUCAGACAACCACCGACCGUCUAGUGAGUUUUUGGUACUCUAUUAUGUGUUUGUGCAUCAACUUGGUAAUGCACUUAUAUUUGGUAUGUUUGCCUCCAGGCUUUGUAUGGGCAGGAGAUGGUUCAGCGCCAUGGGCAGGACUACGAUUGGAGGAACCAACCAAUCGACCCUUAGGUAGUAUAUGCUAGUGCAGGAGGAUAAGCCCAUGGACGAUGAGAGUAUUUUAUUUGGAUUUCAAAAUUGUUCUCAUAUGCUUGUGAUUGAACCGAGUCCAUGGUUUACUCUACUAAGUGCAUGGUUCACUCUUGUAGGUUGGGUAUUUUUGAUUCCACGAUUGAUUCUAGGGAGCUGAGACACCGUGGACGACAGUCCACAUCCUCAUCUUCGCAGUUGUCCCGUUCUCGAUCAUCCGCCCAAGAGAUAGAGAUUGCAGUGUUGCGUCAGCAUGCAGAGUAUCAUAAAUCAGUUUUGAGGGAAACAAAUGGAGUAUUAGAGGCAACAAGCUGAGUACUAGAAGAAGAAGGACGAGUAUUAUUCAAACCUCCAGGCCCAUAAUCAAGCUCUACUCUCGGUAAGUUGAAGUAACAUUUUGUUCAUAACAACUAAAAACACAUGAUGUGUACCUUAUUUUCUCAACAAUGGCUUGCAUCUAAUUUGUAGCAACUAGCACAACAAGCGGGCGUCUCGAUGCCGACAUAUGGGAUGCCGCCUCUGGACUUUGCACUGUCGAUGCCAAUGUUGUUGCCUCCACCCUGCCUUAAUUCCAUAUGGUAUGUACACAUAUACGUGUGUGACAUGUUCAUAGUUGUCUUAUGUGUUAAAAUGAUAAACUUAGUGGUUAAUAUUUCAUGUGGGUGUGUUAUAGGGAUUUCAGACACCUUCCGCUUCAGUUGCCGCACCUAGAGAUGCGUCUGGUCAAGACGACACAUCGAAUUCUGAGGUGAACAACCUUUUCAACACCUAGAGUCCAGCCGGAGGAAGUGGCUAUAACUUGAACCAACCAGGUGACGGAUAUGAGUGAUAGUUCAUCAAAUGUGUUUGAUUUGGAACUAUGUCAAUGUUCAUGUCAAGGACUAUGUGUCGAACUAUGUUAGUGUUUAAUUUGGAACUAUAUGUUGAUGUAAAAGACUUGUUGCAACUAUUUGGAACUAUAUGUUUGUGAAUGUGAGGUGAUGUUUGUGAAUGUGAAUACUUAUGUGAAUUGAUGUUUGUGAAUGUAUGUGAAUAUGUGGUGUAACACCCCUGGUGUUACUGUUACUAAAAUUUGAGCAUAACAUCAUCAGCAUUAGCAUUUCAUGUGUUUGAUACACCUAGAAUGCAUUCACUAGGCUGAAGUUUCAAACAAGUUGUAUUGAUAUGGCAUUUUGCAAAUAAAACCCUGGAGUAGGGUACUUAACCCUAAAUGGGGUUUAGAAGGGUAAAACAAAAUCCAAAAAGAGAAAACCCUAAAGCUUAAGUGAAAUAGUCAUAAAAUGUUACUAAGAAGGGACCUAAAUUAUAUUCACACCCCUGAAAUACCAAAAACCCUAAAAAGGACCCUAGAAAACCCUAAACCUAAACCCUAGGGGGCUAAGUGCAAAAUCAGUGCAUGUUUGGACUAAAGUACAAAAACUAUGAAAGUAAGGUAUCUUAAGUCAUAUGGUUCAUAAUCAUGAAGAUUUGCAAGCUAAACCCUGAAUUUUGCACCUAUUUGCAAAAAGAACCUAUUUGAGUUCUAAACCUAAGUCUGAAAUUCAAUGACAUUGGCUCAACUUUGGAGCUCUAUAUCUUCCAAAUUAUUGAGAAUUUGCCCUAGGUCACCACAUCAAUUUUGUAGAUCUAUCAAAGGUGAACAACUUUGUUUAAGGGAUUAAACAUUGUUGUUAUGAAGAAUUUGGAGAUAAUUAAACCCAAAGUCAGGCUGUCAGGCUGUUUGAUGUCUGAAUUUCAGACUAACAGUACAACUGCAAGAACUUUGGGCACGAAUUCUGGCAUGAUCGAGCAAGAAUUUGCCUAGGGUUGCUAUACCAAGAUUAUAGUUGGAUCCUAGAGCUAUAACUUUGCUAAAGAGUGUCGAUCAUGUUAUUACAUAAAAUUAAGAGAAAAUUCGCCCUAAACUUUGGCUGUCAGGUGCACUAAAUGAGGAAUGGCCAUGGUACAAUACUGAAGAAGAUCGACUGCCAGCCGUUCAUCGUCGAUGACCUCUCCGCCGCGAUUCGUGCCACCGCUGUCUCGAUUCGUGAUCGGGGAGGAAUGGAUAACACCGGGGAUGGGUAAAAAGAUCUGGGCGGGAUGGAUUGCGAUUGCUAGCUGGUCCGGCCAUCCUGUACACUUGCCGCGCGGCCGUCCGAGUUUAUCCUCACCGGAGCUCGCCGUUUCACUCAACCGUGCCACGCCGCAAAGCAUUCUCCACGUCGUAGGGAUCAUGGAGGAUAGUCAGUUACCCCUCCUGCACCGUUUUCUCCUCGCUCGCCACGAUACGCAGAGCACGGUGAAAUAUCCAAGUCGCCGUGAGCUGAUCUCCAACCCAAAUUCCCUGGCCGCCGCUCACGAUCACUAUAAAUUGAGUGCACCCGCGGCUCCAUAGGGUAAUCACGCAUCUAUUGCACCAAUCCUUGCCCCGGAUUAUCCACCAGGGACCAAGAAUUGCUCACUUCCCCCAAUCACGGUUUCCGCCACCGUAAAACGCACCUCGCCGUGGCCAGCCACUUCCAGGUUUGUUCAUGCUAUCUGCUGCCUUGUUUCAGCAUUAGUGUGCUUCCCUGAUGCUCCUCAACCAACCCAAUUACACUGAGUCCCCCUUAAUUACCGGGAACGCGAUACCCAUUCGAGUGUCCGUGCUGUUUCCAUGGACCGAUCGAUUCAAUGUCCCAUUGAUGAAAUUGUUUGAGGGGAAACCCUCGUUAGGUCUUGGAUUUGAUCUCUGCCAAAGUAGAACGCUAGUCAUCACGUGAAUCAUCCGAUACAUGCUCGCCGGAGUUCGUCCCUACGCGGUUCGCCAUCUUGUAGAUGUCAGUGAGACAUGUGAAUAGCGCCAAGGACCGCCACUCUAAUUUUGAACCGGUAAGGGCGUUUUUGCAAAGUUGUCGCGGGCACGCGUGCGCGCGGGCGAAUUUGCUCGCUGCUGGGCCGCUUCGGCUGAAAUGAGCCCAACACUGUUUAAGCUUUUCUCUUUUCUUUUUCGUGAAACUUUAGAAAUCUAUAGAAAAUUGUAGAAAAAUGGUAAAAAUGUCAAACCAAUUUUGCUAAAUUCCUAAUUUUCAUAGAAUUUAAUAAAAAUAGUUUCAUGAUUUUUAGGUCAAAUAGAGAAUUUUGGAGCAUUUAAAAUAGCCUAAAACAUUGUUUCUGGAUUUUUAGAAAAUAGAUAAUAACUCCAAAAAAUCCCCAAACUUUUGAGAUGAUCUUUAUACAUUAUUUAGAAGCCUUGGGUAGAGUUUGGUAUGAUUUGGACCUUGUUUGAUACUUAGGACCCAAAACCCUACCCCUGCCCUUUGAAUUCCUUUAUUAACUCCGGAAACCCUAGGUUCUCGGAGAACCGUGAAGGAAAAUUGUAUUCAAGACUUUAGAAAAUAAACUUUUACUAUCUUUGCACUCUCAUGAGCAUUACAUGGGCAUUCAUUAUUAUGUAUGGUUAUAUUUAGAAAACGAGGAAGAAGUUGAAGUAGAAGAAGAAAAGACUUCACCACCACCACCCGAGGAACAUCAGGCAGGCAACUGCUUUUAUUUUGAUAUCUGCGGAUCCGAGCCUGAUUCACCUAUAAACCAAGGCAAGCCCCGGUGCAUUUGCCACCUCCUUGAUUCUUUUAAAAUCUUUCUCACUUGCUUGAUGCAUUAGGUGAUAGGAGUUGAAUGCUAAAACAAUUCCUGCAUUACCUUCCUUGAAUUUGAUUACCUUCCUUUGAAUCCCUGUUUUACAAACGGUUUUUACUAUGCUUAGUCUUGCUCUAGCAAAACAAAAUGUUUUGUUUUUACAAAAGAUGAUGUGGCAAAGUGGGAGGGAUGUUUUCGAAAAUAAAACUUGAUGGUGAGUCCAUCAUGGCCAUGAUGGGUUCAGUAUCGGAAAAGAUGUACCUCUGUCAGGUACCAAACUUUGGGAUUUGAAAUGAUUAAGCUAAGAUCGGGCGGGUGACUUGCAUGAGAAGAUAGUCUCGGUGUAGUGUCUCCGUCUGAGUCGAUUAAGGACCAUGUCGAUGUAGGCCUGCUGACCGAGGACCCUUUAACUGGUCACAUGCCUCGUCAUGGGUAAGCUUUGCCUCGGGCAGACUAAUACCAGAAUAAGAUACCACGCAAUGGGAGUGGAGAGAUGGCGAGAGUAGCGUGUACCCUCCGUGGCAAGAGGCUGGACGGUGGUGUAUCUGUGCUCUCGGUUGGCGUGAACCUGAUCUGGUCUUAAGAACCCGGUGGCGGGUUGACAUAUGCAAGGGUUAAGUGCUACAUAUGUCGUGUGAUCAGAGAUCCUCAGCUGAGUAUAAUCGAUUCGGAUCUCCGUACCUUCACGGUUAUGAAAACUUGGUCACUGACCUAUACGUAGAACUCCAGUAAAGAUGAAGGGUUGUUAAGAAAUUGGCUAGUGUAGGUCAAGUGAUUGAACUAGGGUUGAAAGAACUCUAGUUACAGGUAAUUAAACUUAACUUGACAAAUAAAACUGGAUUUUUAAGGAUCCACUGUUAGUAAGCAUUUCUGCAAACAGAAUCGUUGAUUAUUGAGAAACCUUACCUUGACUCCCUUAUAACCAGCAUACCCUUAAGAGUCUUUUUUAGUCGGGUAAGUCUCGCUCAGUAAUUCCAUACUCAGGGUUUUAUUCCCUAUUAUUUUUAGGUGAGGAAGCAACAAACUUUUGUUGUUUCUGUUCCAAGGUGAUCUCAAAAGAAGAAGACCAAGAGUAAAGCUGCGGGAGGAAAGGAUCCUCCAUAAAAACUUUUGUGUAAAACUUAUCGGGAGGGGUUUUUGCCUCCCUUGGCUUGUAAUAAUAAUACUCUGCACUCGUAUGUUAUAUUUUGGUCUGUAAAUAUUAAUCUUUGCCUUACUUUUAAAUAAAGGUAAGUUAAUGUAAUGGCUUUCGCACUUUCGUAACUCUGAUGCUUGUAAUGUCUGCGUGACGGGUAAAACGCUCUUGGGAAAGGUAAGAAAAGUAGAUACCGAACUUGUCAAGUGAUUCAGGGGCACCUGUAGGGUUGUCUGAGGUCCGUUGGACAAGGACAACUGUAGGUGGGCCUAAUGACUUGGGAGGUUCCGUCACAUGUGGUUGUAUAUGAAAUCUGUGGUUUUCUAUGUAAAUGUCAGAAAUGUACAAAAAUAUAAUUUUUUUGCAACUGCUGAAAUUCAUUGUCUGAUGGCUUAACACAAGACGUCGGACAUAAUACUUCAUUAUGUCCGAAGGCUAACAUAGGCCGUCGGCUAAUAUAGGCCACCAGACAUAAGCGAUGGACGACCGUUAACUGCCGUUACCGAGGAUAAACGUCGAUGGCCGAAAGGUGCCGUCAGACAUAGCUUAUGUCCAAUGGCCACCGUCGGAAAUAAGAGUAUUUUUGACCCUUUAUGACAGAGGGAUGGGUACCGUCGAACAUAAGCCUACGACCGUCCGUCGAAAAUAACUUAUGUCUGAUGGCUUUAACUGUCGAAAAUACCCUGUUUUACUAAAGUGACGAAUAAGCACCACCCACGUAUAUGUAUUUCCUUUAAUCUGGGUUGCUGCUGCUCGUUCUAGUAGCAUAUUAUUGACCAAACUUCUACCACGUCCUACGUACAAUCCUGCAUGUAUUAGAGUACGUCUGGUUUCACAUCAGACACUUAUUCACGUUGUGUUUGUUUUUUCAAAGAAGAAUGUAAAAGUUCAUGUACCUGAGCUCCAGGACAUGCCAUUUUUGUUUUCUUUUGUUUUUUUGCAAGCACCACGUAGCAGUUUAAAAGCUAAAUUCCACCGAAUCUAUCUCUAUAUAUGCAUACACUCAAACGUCUCCAAAACCCUCCUUAAAAAUCAUUUGGGAAGUCAAUGCAUGAUUAUGCCAAGUGAUCGAUGAACAAAAUAAAUAGAGGGCUUUAUUUUUAUCUUCCUCGCCAGUAGUUUUUAGUAAUUAGAAAAUCUUCAGGACUCUGAUGUAUAAUUUACUUGCUAAACCAGAGACAAGUUAACAAAAUAAGCACCAACCUUAAUUUACCCCCUCCAAUAGUUUACCAUAUGAACUUUCUAAAAAAACGAAUUGUUUGGCGCAGCAAUUCCAGGUCAGUGCGGCCAUCCACCAUGUCCGUCGACAGAUAGGUUGUCAUUCUCGGUUCACCCCAUCCACCAUGUGUGUUAGUACCGGACCUUGUACAUUAUUCCCCAUGAUCUUCAUGGGACAGCGACGGUAGAAGUGCUACACAAAAACAUUUGUCAGCUUAUUCCUUUGGCUUUAAUCUGUACCGGUUUCUACUGUUUCUACAAUAUUUUUGUCUCUAUAGAUUGCAGCUGCAGCAGCCUGAACAGCUGGCUUCAACGGAUACCAGACAAUCGAAACUAAAUGUCUUAGCUUAUAGUCUCGGUUGCAUGCACCGAUAUUAAUUAAUUGAUAUCUUUAAUACCAAUUGUUGAAUAUAUGUUCAAGAGACAAUCAUGACAUAUGAUAACACUAAUGAGUCUUUAUGGUAAAAACACAUUAGUAAGGGUCUAUAUGUACCAAAGGUCUGGCAUGCUUGAGAGAAUCAUAUUAGCUACCGCUGUCUCUUCCUAUGGUUGCAGACGCUCGAUACGUCGACACCGCUUCUCUCGAUAUGCAUGGUGUUAGCGCACCGACAUUACGAUAUUUCAUCUUCACACGUAUGGAUAUACCAUGGUGACACUGUUGUUACUGUGGUGUUGAUCAAUAAUGAACUUGAGGAGGAUGGUCAAAUGUGUUGUUGUUGGUACGUAAGGACAUUCGAUGACUUCCACUACAUCAAUGUGUCCUUCCACUGUGUUGCGCGUCUAGUAGUAGAAAUGCAUGAUUCUGUAGUUACAUGCAAUCUUGGUUAAACAUGGUAGAUAUGCUAGUGUGUAUCGUGCAUGAUUUCCAUCAGUGGUACCAGAGCUAGGUCAUGCACAAUUUUUGAUCUAGAUUAUUUGCAUAUAGGUGAUACUCCUAGUAUAUUGCAUCUAUUUUUCUUUGGUUAUAGCACCACUUAGGACAAAUGAGGUAAUUGCCGGUAUAGUUGCAUAUCUCUACCGACUAGAAUCACCGUAGGGAUAACAAUACAUGUAUCUUUUAGAUUGAGAAAGUCAAGAAAUCUGAAUUGGAUAUACUGUUAUGGCUCUAUGUCACACAAUUGUCAAUAUGAUUGACAGUAAAAAUAGAGACAUUUAGCUUGUCUUGAAAUCAACUUGAUUUGAUUAAUCUGGUGAUAUUUAUAUAGAGCUUUCAGUGAUGUGACCAGGAAUUUCUGAGUGUACGACAUAGAUUAUUUGGACAAACCAUUUUCAUACCGCAUGGUAGUAUCCGACUCUCCACCUAGCAUGGUUUUAUAGAGAAUAUUAUGAAUAAUAUGAACCAAAUAUAGAAACCACAUAUAGGACUUGAUGAUGUAGAUCACCAUGAUAAAUGGAUGACUUCUAUCCUACAUUUAAUAUAAUUAUAUGCGAUGGUUUAUUUUCCUACCUUACUAUCCACCCAUGUACUAAAUAUGAUAGGAUAGUUUCCCUAAAAAAUUAAGAGUUUAUUUUGAUACCCUUCCAAUUACUAUGUUUAUAUAGAUUCUAAUCAUCACUUGGUGGGCCUACCAAAGCAAAGUCUCAUUGAUUAUUUUAAUCUAAUAGGGUAAGUCCUAGACAUUUGCUAAAGAUGAAGGGCAAAGGUGAGGGCAAGGCUAAAGAUGAGAUCUCAAAGCUAAAUGCAAAGUCUAAGUCUGGCCUUUCUUCUAAAGACAAAAAUUUCAUUGUGGUGACCUUGAGAAACGGUCUAGGAACUACAAGAAGUACUUAGAAGACUAAGGAAAUUGAGACUUCUAUUUUGUUUAUAUAUGUUAUUGAAAUUAAUCUGGCUAUUUCUUUUAGUGAAUCAUGGGUAUUUGAUAUCAGAUCGAUGAUUCAUACUUGCAAAUCAUUGCAAGGACUAAAAAGGACUAGAAUAUUUGCUACAAAUGAGUUGAAUAUGUGUGUAGGCAAUAGAGCAAAGGUUGUUGCACUAGCCAUCGACACUUAUCAAGUGCCACUUGUACACAUUUUAGAAAGAUCUUAACAAAUAUCUAAUCCAGAGAAUUCCUAAUUUUCAAUAGCAACAGAUAUCUAAGUUUUAUAGCUUGCCAUGGUUAUUAUUGUAGAAGAUUUUGAAACCUUGCCUUAUGCCCUCAUUUCAUGGCUUCAUGAUUGUUAUAGAUAUUUCUAAAUUUUUUGUUUUGUUUCUGUUGGUACCUCAAGAUUGGGGCACCCACUACUGCUGGAUCAAGCUAGACCCUCCAGGACCAUUGGAGCUUUGUCUUUUAGUUGCACUGGACAGUCCGGUUCCGCACCGGACAUGUACUGUUCACUGUUCGGUGCGCCUCUGGCGGCUGCUCCGACUUCUGCGCGCACUGUCCGCGUACUAUAGCGUUUACAGGUGUUCGUUGCAGUCGACCGUUGCACUGUUAGCCGUUGCUCCGCUGGUGCACCGGAUAGUCCGGUGGCACACCGGACAGUCCAGUGAAUUAUAGCGGAGCUACACCUGAGAAACCCGAAGGUGGCGAGUUUGGAGUUGUACGGUCCUGGUGCACCGGACACUGUCCGGUGGCAUACCGGACAGUCCGGUGCGCCAGACCAGGGUACCCUUCAGUUCCUUUGCUCCUUUGCUUUUGAACCCUAACUUUGAUAUUUUAUUGGUUUGUGUUGAACCUUUAUGCACCUGUGGAAUUCUCCUCUCAAGGACGUCACCUUCAAGAACAUCACCGGCACCUCCUCCACCCCGGAGGCCGUUAGCCUGCUCUGCACUGCCAAGAUCCCAUGCACCGGCGUCACCAUGGAUGACGUCAACGUCGAGUAUAGCGGCACCAACAACAAGACCAUGGCUAUAUGCACGAACGCCAAGGGCAGCACCAAGGGUUGCCUCAAGGAGCUUGCAUGCUUCUAGACCCUCCGUCGACUGACCCAUCUCUCUAGUUAUAAUUUUUCUCUCGUCCUUGCAUUGCCCAUUAGUUGCUAUCCAUUGGUAACGCACAACAGUAAAACGACAGACAUCCGACAGCUAUAUUAUGUUCGACGGUGUAACACCCUGAAUUUGAGGGUAUAAAAUUUCUUCUCUAAAUGCCAACCAAAUUCAGGUGUUACCUCUUGUCUCUCUCUCUUUUCCUUUUGAUUAAAAGUAAGUGAAUUAGGCGAGGGUUUAAUUAUUUAUUUUGUCAAAACUUAUGUGAGUCAUGAAAUGUUGCAUCAUGCUGAGCCUAAAUUAUUCUUUUGUUUGAUGCACAUGUUUGAAUUGGUUUGAAUUUGAAAUUUGGUUUGAGUUUGAUUUGAAAACCAUAAAGAAAUUAAAAU